AGCGAACCGGGGGAACUGAAACAUCUAAGUACCCCGAGGAAAAGAAAUCAACCGAGAUUCCCCCAGUAGCGGCGAGCGAACGGGGAGCAGCCCAGAGUCUGAAUCAGCUUGUGUGUUAGUGGAACGGUCUGGAAAGUCCGACGGUACAGGGUGAUAGUCCCGUACACCAAAAUGCACAGGUUGUGAACUCGAAGAGUAGGGCGGGACACGUGGUAUCCUGUCUGAAUAUGGGGGGACCAUCCUCCAAGGCUAAAUACUCCUGACUGACCGAUAGUGAACCAGUACCGUGAGGGAAAGGCGAAAAGAACCCCGGCGAGGGGAGUGAAAAAGAACCUGAAACCGUGUACGUACAAGCAGUGGGAGCCUCUUUAUGGGGUGACUGCGUACCUUUUGUAUAAUGGGUCAGCGACUUAUAUUCUGUAGCAAGGUUAACCGUAUAGGGGAGCCGAAGGGAAACCGAGUCUUAACUGGGCGUUAAGUUGCAGGGUAUAGACCCGAAACCCGGUGAUCUAGCCAUGGGCAGGUUGAAGGUUGGGUAACACUAACUGGAGGACCGAACCGACUAAUGUUGAAAAAUUAGCGGAUGACUUGUGGCUGGGGGUGAAAGGCCAAUCAAACCGGGAGAUAGCUGGUUCUCCCCGAAAGCUAUUUAGGUAGCGCCUCGUGAACUCAUCUUCGGGGGUAGAGCACUGUUUCGGCUAGGGGGUCAUCCCGACUUACCAACCCGAUGCAAACUGCGAAUACCGAAGAAUGUUAUCACGGGAGACACACGGCGGGUGCUAACGUCCGUCGUGAAGAGGGAAACAACCCAGACCGCCAGCUAAGGUCCCAAAGUCAUGGUUAAGUGGGAAACGAUGUGGGAAGGCACAGACAGCCAGGAUGUUGGCUUAGAAGCAGCCAUCAUUUAAAGAAAGCGUAAUAGCUCACUGGUCGAGUCGGCCUGCGCGGAAGAUGUAACGGGGCUAAACCAUGCACCGAAGCUGCGGCAGCGACACUAUGUGUUGUUGGGUAGGGGAGCGUUCUGUAAGCCGUUGAAGGUGUGCUGUGAGGCAUGCUGGAGGUAUCAGAAGUGCGAAUGCUGACAUAAGUAACGAUAAUGCGGGUGAAAAACCCGCACGCCGGAAGACCAAGGGUUCCUGUCCAACGUUAAUCGGGGCAGGGUGAGUCGACCCCUAAGGCGAGGCCGAAAGGCGUAGUCGAUGGGAAACAGGUUAAUAUUCCUGUACUUGGUGUUACUGCGAAGGGGGGACGGAGAAGGCUAUGUUAGCCGGGCGACGGUUGUCCCGGUUUAAGCAUGUAGGCGGAGGUUCCAGGUAAAUCCGGUACCUUUUUAACGCUGAGGUGUGAUGACGAGGCACUACGGUGCUGAAGUAACAAAUGCCCUGCUUCCAGGAAAAGCCUCUAAGCAUCAGGUAACACGAAAUCGUACCCCAAACCGACACAGGUGGUCAGGUAGAGAAUACCAAGGCGCUUGAGAGAACUCGGGUGAAGGAACUAGGCAAAAUGGUGCCGUAACUUCGGGAGAAGGCACGCUGAUAUGUAGGUGAAGUGAUUUACUCAUGGAGCUGAAAUCAGUCGAAGAUACCAGCUGGCUGCAACUGUUUAUUAAAAACACAGCACUGUGCAAACACGAAAGUGGACGUAUACGGUGUGACGCCUGCCCGGUGCCGGAAGGUUAAUUGAUGGGGUUAUCCGUAAGGAGAAGCUCUUGAUCGAAGCCCCGGUAAACGGCGGCCGUAACUAUAACGGUCCUAAGGUAGCGAAAUUCCUUGUCGGGUAAGUUCCGACCUGCACGAAUGGCGUAAUGAUGGCCAGGCUGUCUCCACCCGAGACUCAGUGAAAUUGAACUCGCUGUGAAGAUGCAGUGUACCCGCGGCAAGACGGAAAGACCCCGUGAACCUUUACUAUAGCUUGACACUGAACACUGGUCCUUGAUGUGUAGGAUAGGUGGGAGGCUUUGAAGUGUGGACGCCAGUCUGCAUGGAGCCAUCCUUGAAAUACCACCCUUUAAUGGCUGGUGUUCUAACGUGGACCCGUUACCCGGGUUGCGGACAGUGUCUGGUGGGUAGUUUGACUGGGGCGGUCUCCUCCUAAAGAGUAACGGAGGAGCACGAAGGUUAGCUAAUCCUGGUCGGACAUCAGGAGGUUAGUGCAAAGGCAUAAGCUAGCUUGACUGCGAGAGUGACGGCUCGAGCAGGUGCGAAAGCAGGUCUUAGUGAUCCGGUGGUUCUGAAUGGAAGGGCCAUCGCUCAACGGAUAAAAGGUACUCCGGGGAUAACAGGCUGAUACCGCCCAAGAGUUCAUAUCGACGGCGGUGUUUGGCACCUCGAUGUCGGCUCAUCACAUCCUGGGGCUGAAGUAGGUCCCAAGGGUAUGGCUGUUCGCCAUUUAAAGUGGUACGCGAGCUGGGUUUAGAACGUCGUGAGACAGUUCGGUCCCUAUCUGCCGUGGGCGCUGGAGAAUUGAGGGGGGCUGCUCCUAGUACGAGAGGACCGGAGUGGACGCAUCACUGGUGUUCGGGUUGUCAUGCCAAUGGCAUUGCCCGGUAGCUAAAUGCGGAAGAGAUAAGUGCUGAAAGCAUCUAAGCACGAAACUUGCCCCG
rnacentral:rRNA from 1 species